rnacentral:rRNA from 1 species
GGAGUUAGCCGGUGCUUCUUCUGUGAGUGAUGUCCUUCCUGCCGGUUAUUGACCCGCAGGCCUUCUUCCUCACUGAAAGUGCUUUACAACCCGAAGGCCUUCUUCACACACGCGGCAUGGCUGGAUCAGGGUUGCCCCCAUUGUCCAAUAUUCCCCACUGCUGCCUCCCGUAGGAGUCUGGGCCGUGUCUCAGUCCCAGUGUGGCUGAUCAUCCUCUCAGACCAGCUACGGAUCGUCGCCUUGGUGAGCCGUUACCUCACCAACCAGCUAAUCCGACAUAGGCUCAUCCGAUAGCGCGAGGCCCGAAGGUCCCCCGCUUUCCCCCGUAGGGCGUAUGCGGUAUUAGCCUGGGUUUCCCCAGGUUAUCCCCCACUACCGGGCAGAUUCCUAUGCAUUACUCACCGUCCGCCGCUCGCCACCAGGGAGCAAGCUCCCCGUGCUGCCGCUCGACUUGCAUGUGUUAGGCCUGCCGCCAGCGUUCAAUCUGAGCCAGAAUCGAACCCUGA